AGAUUGCAGGCUGCAACCCGCCCUGCAUGAAGUCGGAAUUGCUAGUAAUCGCGGAUCAGCAUGCCGCGGUGAAUACGUUCCCGGGCCUUGUACACACCGCCCGUCACACCAUGGGAGCCGGUAAUACCCGAAGUCAGUAGUCCAACCUCGUGAGGACGCUGCCGAAAGUAGGAUUGGCGACUGGGGUGAAGUCGUAACAAGGUAAC
rnacentral:rRNA from 1 species